UACGGGGGGGGCAAGCGUUGUUCGGAAUUACUGGGCGUAAAGGGCUCGUAGGCGGCCAACUAAGUCAGACGUGAAAUCCCUAGGCUCAACCUAGGAACUGCGUCUGAUACUGGAUGGCUUGAAUCCGGGAGAGGGAUGCAGAAUUCCAGGUGUAGCGGUGAAAUGCGUAGAGAUCGGGAGGAACACCCGUGGCGAAGGCGGCUCACUGGGCUGACCUUGACGCUGAGGCGCGAAGGCGUGGGGAGCGAACGGG
rnacentral:rRNA from 1 species